rnacentral:rRNA from 1 species
GCUUAAAGGGGCCGUAGCUUGAUAAUAGGGUCCCUUGAGAAAUCCGCCGGCUUAACUGGCGGGCGUUCAGGGGAAACUUGUUUUCUAGGGACCGGGAGAGGUGAGGGGUACUGCCGGGGUAGGAGUGAAAUCCUGUAAUCCCGGUGGGACCACCUAUGGCGAAGGCAUCUCACCAGAACGGGUCCGACAGUGAGGGACGAAAGCUGGGGGAGCAAACCGGAUUAGAUACCCGGGUAGUCCCAGCUGUAAACUAUGUGCGUUAGGUGUGUCAGUGACCACGUGUCACUGAGGUGCCGAAGGGAAACCGUGAAACGCACCGCCUGGGGAGUACGGUCGCAAGGCUGAAACUUAAAGGAAUUGGCGGGGGAGCACCACAACGGGUGGAGCCUGCGGUUUAAUCGGACUCAACGCCGGGAAUCUCACCGGAUAAGACAGCCGAAUGAUAGUCGGGAUGAAGACUCUACUUGACUAGCUGAGAGGAGGUGCAUGGCCGUCGUCAGUUCGUACUGUGAAGCAUCCUGUUUAGUCAGGCAACGAGCGAGACCCACGCGAGCAGUUGCCAGCUUGACCUUCGGGUUGAUGGGGACACUGCUCGGACCGCCUCUGCUAAAGGGGAGGAAGGACUGGGCAACGGUAGGUCAGCAUGCCCCGAAUUAUCCGGGCUACACGCGGGCUACAAUGGACAGGACAAUGAGUUUCGACACCGAGAGGUGAGGAUAAUCUUCUAACCCUGUCCCAAGUUCGGAUUGCGGGUUGUAACUCACCCGCAUGAAGCUGGAAUCCGUAGUAAUCGCGUUUCAACAUACCGCGGUGAAUAUGUCCCUGCUCCUUGCACACACCGCCCGU